rnacentral:lncRNA from 1 species
ACUAAAUCAUGUUCUUUUCUGGACAAGUGUAUAAGGGAGCAGACUAUUGAGAUCAAUAGAUUUAAAAAAAUGUCCUUAAGGAAUUAGCAUUUCUUCAUGUUCAUGAACCCAAACAAUAUUAUAAACAUUUUGAGGCAAAUACUAGCUGUGCUGGCCUUUUUCUCUCAGUAGGAGGCUGUCAAUCUUUCCAAAUUACAGGCCUUUGGCCAUGUGGUUCCUUCAAUGGGAGAAUUUUGCCUGUCUCCCUGGAGUGCUGGUUCCAGCUCAAACUUCAUAUGUGAACUUAAAGUGAUCCUGUCAGUUGGCUGUCCAAAAUUCCUUAUAGAAAGCUGAAAAUUCCUUCUGCACCCCCCCUUUUUUCUCUAACAAAGUAACUUGGUCAUUCCCCUAUUUAGCACUUAGCACAAAUUUAUGUAAUAUAUGUUUAUUUACUUUUCUUACUAAAUGAUCUUUUGCUAUACUGUAUGAUCUAUAAGGGCAGACACUGUGUCUGUUUUAUUUGCCACUGUGAGCUAGGUAUUUACCUAACUCAGUACUUGGUACAUGGUUGAAGUGGGGGGAAAAAUUGCCAUAUGAAUUAAUACCUCUCACACAUUAUUUAAGUGAUUAAAAUUUUAGUGAUUAAAAUUUAUUUAAACAAGAAGCUUAAAUAAGGAUAUUUCUUCUAACAUUCCUCUAGGUAUUUCUUGCUCCUUUGUCCUUUGAUAUAACAUCCACUUUGACACUGCUUCAUAGCUUCAUUGACUAAAAUGAAAAAUAUACAAAAACUAUCAGUUUGCUCAUCUCACCUUACAGCCAGUGUUUUCUGAUGUUUCAAAAAACCAUUCACAGGCAGGUUUCCCUGAUCCAUGAUCACAAUGGAGGGAAAUGUGAUAGGGGAGCUCCAGGUCACCAUCACACAAUGAAGACUUCCAGGUGCUUAGACUCAAAACAUCUAGACAGUUCAGAAGUUGAGAGGAAUCUUCCAGUAAAUUCUGCUAUUGGAAAUCCUCUGGGCCUGAGGUCCUCACCAAUUAACUUCUUUUUCAUGGGUCUUUGAUAAGAAUACCUGAGUCAAUUCUCAAAGCAUCAGUAUAUUUGCAACAGGCUAGCAAGGGGAAAUGAUUUUUUUCCGGCUGAAGAGAAAACAUGUUUAAGGCUAGUAAAAGCCUCUUUUUUUUCUUUUUUUUUUAUCUGAAACUUCUUUAUUACCCUGAGUAUGACAAAUAGAACACAGUCACAGUAUAAAGAACAGAGCCGAAGAAAGUGCAGGCAAUGACACAUGGGUACAAGCUCCUUUCAGGGUCUGCAGCUCUUUACUUGGAAAAAGCCAGUUAGGAUUGUAAAAUUUUUCUCUUUAAUAAUAAUAAUUCCACUAAAAUUAUACAAAGUACUUUCAAUACUUAAGGGUAGUGAGGAAGAUCAUCAGUCAGUUCCAACAAAGGAAGCCCAGCUGGGCUGGAGAAGUUGGGGGUGGAGGUCCGGUUGUAAAAAAUAAAAAUGUGGAUCGGUUAAGAAAAAGGCCA